GUCAACGGAGCUGCUUCCUAUAAGAAAAUUGUGAAGGAUUUUGUAAAUGAAUAUUACUGUAUUGUUUCAAGGGAAAAGAUCAAGAAAUUGAACAAAAGAGGAUCUUUCCCAGUUCGUGUGCUGACUUGGUGUUAGUUGUAUUGGCUGAUAUAUGUUAAGUGUGAUUUGUGGACAUAUUAUGUAAUGAUUACUACCUAAUUGUGUUAAUUGAAAGCAUUAUUGUUUUAUUGG
rnacentral:lncRNA from 1 species